GUGAGUUAUCUACCUUUAGCCUGGUGGUCAGGAGAACAAUACCUUUAUUUUGAUUUAUCGCACUUACCCCAGAACAAAUCUUCCUGAUUUUUGUAUUGCAACUGGAAGGCAGGACACAGAAUUCAGUCUGGAGGCCAUAAAUGGACUUCGUUGAAAGCUUAUAUCAAAUCAAAAAGGAGAGGGCAGGGCACUAAAUACAGCCUGGAAGCCAUACAUGGACAUCGAUCAAAAAGGGGACCAAUACCAAGUUCCUGCUUGGAAACUGGAGGGCAGUACAAAUGCAUUGUUGCCGAAAGGAAGGAUUGUUCUACGAAUAACAAAUUUGGAGUAUGUGAAGAGAGUAAAUUAAGUAUCCUGUCCUCCAAUUUCUAAACAGAAAUCUGUAAGGAUUGUUCUAAGAAAAACGGUUCUAGGAUAUGUGUCGUUCACCAAAAUAAAAGAAGUGAUCUCCCCUUUAA